rnacentral:lncRNA from 1 species
UUGGGGAACGACCAAGGUGAGGUGAAUCCACUUUAGAUCUGCUAAUUGAUGUUUUUAGGAGGUUCUUGGUCCUGAGGAUUAGUGGAUUUGUUGGGGAAAACACGGUUUGAAGGUCGAUUUAAGGUGUGCUGUCCUGUAGCUCGGGCAGUGCUGCUGUCCUUGUAGUUUUGGCAACCUAAACGAUUUCUCCUCCAAAAGUGGAUCAUACAAAAGUUGUAGAGGAUUUUGAGAUGUAACUGCUGUCCAAGUUUCACAUUUUUUGGUGGAGUAUACCUUCAGUUAUUGAAUAUUGUUUGGACGCUGUUUCUGAAUGUCCAGAUUUUUGACAGCAGAUGUUCAGAGAUGUAUUAGAUGAUCUUAAGGAUGG